CAGUCGCCACGGUAAUACGUAGGUGGCAAGCGUUGUCCGGAAUUAUUGGGCGUAAAGGGCUCGCAGGCGGUUUCUUAAGUCUGAUGUGAAAUCCCAAGGCUCAACCUUGGAACUGCCUUUGAUACUGAUUGUCUUGAGUCCGGGAGGGGUGAGUGGAACUGCGAGUGUAGAGGUGAAAUUCGUAGAUAUUCGCAAGAACACCAGUGGCGAAGGCGGCUCACUGGCCCGGAACUGACGCUGAGGCGCGAAAGCGUGGGGAGCAAACAGGAUUAGAUACCCGCGUAGUCCCUGUCUCUUAUAC
rnacentral:rRNA from 1 species